GGAUCCCCAAUACUUCGCUCUUCAACGAGGAAUCCCUAGUAAGCGUGAGUCAUCAGCUCACGUUGAUUACGUCCCUGCCCUUUGUACACACCGCCCGUCGCUACUACCGAUUGAAUGGCUUAGUGAGACCUUUGGAUUGGGGUUUGGAAGCGGCAACGUAACCAUUCUCCGAGGAGUCGGUCAAACUUGGUCAUUUAGAGGAAGUAAAAGUCGUAACAAGGUUUCCGUAAGGUGAACCUGCGGAAGGAU
rnacentral:rRNA from 1 species